rnacentral:snRNA from 16 species
CGCUUCCGACUUCGGUUCAAUAACGAAAAAGAUUUUCGCCUUUUACUAAAAUACUUCCGUGAACCGAAGUCAUAAAGGCAGCUUUCACUAUUUUUUUGAAUAGGUCUUCCUAUUC